rnacentral:rRNA from 1 species
ACUCCUACGGGAGGCAGCAGUGGGGAAUAUUGCACAAUGGGGGAAACCCUGAUGCAGCCAUGCCGCGUGUGUGAAGAAGGCCUUCGGGUUGUAAAGCACUUUCAGUAGGGAGGAAGGUAGUGUAGUUAACACCUGCACUAUUUGACGUUACCUACAGAAGAAGCACCGGCUAACUCCGUGCCAGCAGCCGCGGUAAGUACGGAGGGUGCGAGCGUUAAUCGGAAUUACUGGGCGUAAAGCGCAUGCAGGCGGCCUGUUAAGUCAGAUGUGAAAGCCCGGGGCUUAACCUCGGAAUUGCAUUUGAAACUGGCAGGCUAGAGUCUUGUAGAGGGGUUAGAAUUUCAGGUGUAGCGGUGAAAUGCGUAGAGAUCUGAAGGAAUACCAGUGGCGAAGGCGGCCCCGUGGACAAAGACUGACGCUCAGAUGCGAAAGCGUGGGAGCAAACAGGAUUAGAUACCCCGUGGUAGCGACUGA